ensembl:lncRNA
CCUGGAGAUACUCCAGACCCAGCUGGAUGCCCACCUGUGCAGCCUGCUGUACGGAGCCUGUUGAGCAGGGGGGGGAGUUGGACUCGAUGAUCUCUAGGGAUCUCUUCCAGCCCCUACUGUUCUGUGAUUCUGUGAUUGUAAUCGUUGCUUCUUGCAGCAGCAGAGUGUUUCACAAGAGAGAAAAUCAUGGCGGCCAUGAACUGGCUUUCUGUGGUUGGUAAAGCUGUGCUGAGAUCUGGGCUGACUAUUGCAGCUGAAAAUGCGUGCCAAGUCUGCAGACACAGAGGAAUAAGUUUUCCCUGCAGAUGGAGCUUGUCUAAGCAAGGAGAGAUUUGAGGUGCUGUUUGGUAAUGGAAGAUGGAGAGAGGAAAAGCGAGUAAAAGGCAUGCUGUGCAUAGCCAGCGCAUCCCAUCUGCACCGUUGUUCCCAUGCACAAAGGAGGAGCAGCUCAGCAAGCUUGGCCUGGGCCGUGGAAGGGAGCAUACAAACAUCUGGACCAACGUGACAGGAGUUAGUUCUGCAGGAGGGCAGGUGGUGAAGCUCAUGAAGCAAUGCCUGCAGAUGGGGUUUGCGGAGCAAGAGGUCCUGCAGGCCUUGUGUGACACGCAUGGAGCUGUAGCGGGGCUGCAUCAGUGUAAAACAGCAGAAAUGCACGGAGGUGUGAAGGUGAGCGGUGGGCUCCAGUAGUGCAGGAGGGGAUGUACAUGCUCAGGGUUUGGCUGCUUCCGUGUGUGUUUUAAGUGAGUGUGAUCCC